CUGGCGGCGUGCUUAACACAUGCAAGUCGAACGAGAAUCUGUGGAUCGAGGAUUCGUCCAAGUGAAGCAGAGGACAGUGGCGGACGGGUGAGUAACGCGUGAGGAACCUGCCUUUCAGAGGGGGACAACAGUUGGAAACGACUGCUAAUACCGCAUGAUACAUUUGGGUGGCAUCAUCUGAAUGUCAAAGAUUUAUCGCUGAAAGAUGGCCUCGCGUCUGAUUAGCUGGUUGGUGAGGUUAAACGGGCCCACCAAGGCGACGAUCAGUAGCCGGACUGAGAGGUUGACCGGCCACAUUGGGACUGAGAUACGGCCCAGACUCCUACGGGAGGCAGCAGUGGGGAAUAUUGGGCAAUGGGCGCAAGCCUGACCCAGCAACGCCGCGUGAAGGAAGAAGGCUUUCGGGUUGUAAACUUCUUUUAAGAGGGAAGAGCAGAAGACUGUACCUCUAGAAUAAGCCACGGCUAACUACGUG
rnacentral:rRNA from 1 species